ACGCACGGAGGCAUCUCCUGUGCGUGGAAAGAACUUCGGUCAAGGAUGGACUCGCGGCCUAUCAGGUAGUUGGUGAGGUAACGGCUCACCAAGCCUACGACGGGUAGCCGGCCUGAGAGGGUGACCGGCCACACUGGGACUGAGACACGGCCCAGACUCCUACGGGAGGCAGCAGUGGGGAAUAUUGCACAAUGGGCGCAAGCCUGAUGCAGCAACGCCGCGUGAGGGAUGACGGCCUUCGGGUUGUAAACCUCUUUUAGUAGGGAAGAAGCGAAAGUGACGGUACCUGCAGAAAAAGCACCGGCUAACUACGUGCCAGCAGCCGCGGUAAUACGUAGGGUGCGAGCGUUGUCCGGAAUUAUUGGGCGUAAAGAGCUCGUAGGCGGUCUGUCGCGUCUGCUGUGAAAACCCGAGGCUCAACCUCGGGCCUGCAGUGGGUACGGGCAGACUAGAGUGCGGUAGGGGAGAAUGGAAUUCCUGGUGUAGCGGUGGAAUGCGCAAAUAUCAGGAGGAACACCGAUGGCGAAGGCAGUUCUCUGGGCCGUAACUGACGCUGAGGAGCGAAAGCGUGGGGAGCGAACAGGAUUAGAUACCCUGGUAGUCCACGCCGUAAACGUUGGGCGCUAG
rnacentral:rRNA from 1 species